GAUUUAUGCACGUUUUAAGAAGUUCGAGUAGUUUUCUUUUUAAUUAUAAUUGAGUUGAUGUCAUAUUUGGUACUGAUCAAUUGUCGUAUUUGGCACGACCGAAAUUGUUGGGGUCGAAAUUGACACUUUUCCCAGGUUUUAUAUCAAUGAUAACGUCGAUAGUUUAUUUUAUUGAUAUCAAUUGAAAUUAACCGGUUGAUUAACAAAACCAUAGAUUAACAAAGACGGCGAUGGCGAUCUGUUAAUCAUGGCGAUGGCAAUGGCGAGAACCGUUAAUUUCAAUUGAUGAAAUCCGUGUUCAACCCCCUGCUGCGGAAUAUUUUUUUUAUAGUUAGAUUAUAGGUUCUAUAUCAAUG
rnacentral:lncRNA from 1 species